CUCGCUUCCUGCCUCUUCGGCCCGCCCACUUCCGGGUCGUUGCCCAUACUGCUCACCUCGGAGCACAGGUAGGCUCACAUUGGCAUGUGAUUUGUGCACCCUCGUCUGGGUUUUAUUUAAUCUAAAUCGUCGUUGAUUGCUAGAUCUGGCAUUUGGCGUCUGGGGACGAGACUGUCGGGCGCGUUCACCGCUGUCAUCCAAGCCUAGGUGAGUCAUGGCGAGCUACCUUUUGUUUGUUGUUGUUAGCCAGGUGCUAAGCCCCUUUCCGCUCCUUCUCUCAUAGUUGUCGGUCUCCUCGUGCAGCGCGUGGCUGUCUCCGCCUGCUGUGCAGGCUUUCUUCACCCCUCUCCCUCUUGGACGGGACUAAAACUCCCGGCGGAUGAACCGGACCUUGCAGACCCUGAAAGCUAAGCACGA